rnacentral:rRNA from 1 species
GGUGCUGCAUGGCUGUCGUCAGCUCGUGUUGUGAAAUGUUGGGUUAAGUCCCGCAACGAGCGCAACCCUUAUCCUUUGUUGCCAGCGAUUCGGUCGGGAACUCAAAGGAGACUGCCAGUGAUAAACUGGAGGAAGGUGGGGAUGACGUCAAGUCAUCAUGGCCCUUACGAGUAGGGCUACACACGUGCUACAAUGGCAUAUACAAAGAGAAGCGACCUCGCGAGAGCAAGCGGACCUCAUAAAGUAUGUCGUAGUCCGGAUUGGAGUCUGCAACUCGACUCCAUGAAGUCGGAAUCGCUAGUAAUCGUGGAUCAGAAUGCCACGGUGAAUACGUUCC